rnacentral:sRNA from 1 species
UCUGCCCCACGGGGAAGGAUGAGAAGCUUCGACUAAGGUUCGACUCGAGCGAAGCGAGAGAACGUUGCCGUAGGCAACGGCCCGAAGGGCGAAGCGCUUUAGCGCCGAGUAAUCCUUCCCCCACCACUG